UACGGAGGGGGCAAGCGUUAUCCGGAAUUAUUGGGCGUAAAGCGUCCGUAGGUGGCUAGUCAAGUCUGCGGUCAAAGACUGGGGCUUAACCCUGGAAAGGCCGUGGAAACUGACGAGCUAGAGUGCAGUAGGGGUAGAGGGAAUUCCCGGUGUAGCGGUGAAAUGCGUAGAGCUCGGGAAGAACAUCGGUGGCGAAAGCGCUCUACUGGACUGCAACUGACGCUCAGGGACGAAAGCUAGGGGAGCGAAUGGG
rnacentral:rRNA from 1 species